rnacentral:tRNA from 1 species
GGGGAGAUAGCUCAGUGCAAGAGCUCAGAUUUACACACUGAGGACCUGGGUUCAAGCCCCAGCAUCACCA